rnacentral:lncRNA from 1 species
UGUGUGUGUAUAAUUUAGUUAAAAUUAUAAUUAUUUAUCCUAUAUCCCCAUAUCUCCUUUUCUCUCACAUCCUAAGUGAAACACUUGGAUAUGCAUCCAAAUCUGAUUCUCAUAUCCAUGUCCAUGCAACAGUGCAUUUAGGACAGCAGCCAAUGGAACCUGGUUUAACAGUACAAUAUCCACAUGUACGAGUACUUCAAGAGCCCCUAUUAUGCAAAUUAAUAUGAUUCUUAAUAAUUAAUGAUAUUUCAUAUUUUUACAUCUCUUUGACGAAACUUUAGUAAGUUGAUAACAUCAUAAUGGGGUAAAAUAUAUUAACUAACAUUAUGACCCUCCUAUGAAGCCUUAAAAAAAAGUGAAAUAUCUUGGAUUAUUUUAUGCCAAAGGCCUAGAUGUUUGAUCUUUGAUCCAUCACUGAUUUAAACUGCACCAAGACCC